AUACAAGUCGACAGAGAAAUGCUUGUACCCACGGAGGAAGGAAAAGUGCUUGUACCGGUUGCGCCGUCUUCAAGUUCUGCAAUCUAAGGACAGUACGCGUUUGUACAUUCGUAAUUGUUCUAGUCAAGUAGUGCGUCGUGUUGAUUCGGGCGUUGUCCCAUCCUCGUCUACUCACAUGGCGCACCACCAUCACGGUGACGGCGGCGACCCGUGUGGAGGCCACGGGGGAGACUCUUCCAACGGACUUGAGACGGGUGUACAGUACUCGCUCUACUCCAAAAUAGACCUUGACAACGUUGAGUGCCUAAACGAAAAGGAGGAAGGGUCCGGCAAGUUGGUCUUCAAGCCAUGGGAGCAGAGAUUGGAUCGCGAGAAGUAUGUGGACAGCGAUGUAGAUGAGGAGCUCCUCUUCAACAUCCCCUUCACUGGAAAUGUCAAGCUCAAGUCCAUCCUAAUUGUGGGAGGCGUGGCUGGCAUGCACCCUUCCAAGGUUCGCAUGUUCAAGAAUCGGCGACAGAUGACAUUUCGCGAUGUCCGUGCAACGCCCGAACAGGAGUUUGAGCUGCAGCCUGAUGCCAGUGGUAACUUGGAGUACCCUGUCAGGACUGUAAAGUUCUCCAGUGUGCACCACUUGUCGCUGCACUUCCCGAGCAACUUUGGGAGCGACACAACGCGUGUCUACUACAUCGGCCUGCAUGGGGAGUUCACACAGACUGUCAGUAUCCUAUACCACAUAUAAGAAUUGUGUGAGGCCGGCUGACAAGGUACAACAUAAUAGGGCAGGGCUCAUUCAAUAUGUUCUUCUGGUGUCUGGCAAAACAUAUCUAGGCUCAGAGGCAAGGUGUGGUGUUGUGCAGCUAUGAGAGUGCCGCCAACCCUGCCGACCACAAGGUGCAGCAUCUCCAGCGAGCCA